CACACUUGGUACUUACUGUGUGCCAGACACUGUUCUAAAUACCUUAUAGACAUGAACUCAUUUAAUCCCUAGAACAACUCUGUCAGUUCUAAAAUGGACACGGUCACCAGAGAGAGAACAAGAAGACUGGAGGCCCCCAAAGAGAACUACAGAGAAGCUAUUUGAGGAGGAUGCCACUUCUUAUGGAACCCAUUUUUCCUGGAGACACUCAGUGUUGGCCGAUUUAGAAUAAAAACCAUUAGUAGAUCAC